UAUGUUGUUCCUUUGUGGGUGAUCACACAAAGGAACAUUUUUAGAAUUAGGUAAUGCCGAGGAACAUAGAUAAUGCAUGCUACAAGGAAUUUGCUAACAAAUAUAAUGCUACGCUUGCUACAAUAAAGUGGCCAGUCUAACACACUGCUGUUGUCUGUGUCCAUUUUACUUUUGUUUUAUUUUAUUUUCACUUUUUUGCCAACACCGUUCAUCCUUCGGGAACCCCUGGACCUGCUGGAGCUGGACGCUGGCAAAUGAUUAUCACAGUUAAAAAUAUGUUUCCUUAUACUGCUCAAAUCCUGGGAAAGAAGGCUGAGAACUGAUAUUAGGAUAUCAACCUAAGCAGAUGGGGGAGAAAGAAAUUCAAAUUGUGUAGAGACUGCAUCACCAUUCGGUAGAAUUUGCCAUGGUUAUAAAGCUGGCUUUUGAGAAAAUUUCAUAAACAAUUUCUGCAGAUAAGCAUCCAUUCUCUCACUCGGAGGUCCACAACAAUGCUUUUUUUGGUAGGCAUAAUUGCCUAUUCUUAUGUUAUUUCAGAGGAGAAACUGUGGUUCGAGUUUGAUAUUAGACUCUGCAGUCCAGCUGCCUUUAUUUUAUAUAGGUCUGCUUCUGUAGCUAUUCUACAAGCCUUUAGGGAGCGGUGAAGAGGAGUAAACCAUACAACUAAAGAGGCAUUUACCAUAGGUGAACAUUUAAUUAGUCCCUUGUUCGACAGGAUUGACCCUCACUAUGGAUCUACUAUAAAAAUUUCCCUGUAAUAAAAACUGCACUUGAUA